CCUACGGGUGGCUGCAGUGGGGAAUUUUGGACAAUGGGGGCAACCCUGAUCCAGCCAUGCCGCGUGAGUGAAGAAGGCCUUCGGGUUGUAAAGCUCUUUCAGACGGAAAGAAACGGUCACGGCGAAUACCCGUGACUAAUGACGGUACCGUAAGAAGAAGCACCGGCUAACUACGUGCCAGCAGCCGCGGUAAUACGUAGGGUGCGAGCGUUGAUCGGAAUUACUGGGGGUAGAGUGGUCGCACGGAUGUGAAAUCCCCGGGCUUAACCUGGGAACUGCAUUUGUGACUGCGAGACUAGAGUGUAGCAGAGGGGGGUAGAAUUCCACGUGUAGCAGUGAAAUGCGUAGAGAUGUGGAGGAAUACCGAUGGCGAAGGCAGCCCCCUGGGCUAACACUGACGCUCAUGCACGAAAGCGUGGGGAGCAAACAGGAUUAGAUACCCUAGUAGUC
rnacentral:rRNA from 1 species